UCUGGAAUGUUUUUCGAGACGAAGAUAGCUUUCCCAUCCUGUCGUGUUUUUCGCUCUCCUCGGAUUCCCACCUGCUUGUUGCUGUCUGCUGGUGUCACACCUUCUGCAAACUCGGAGCUCAGAGCAGAGUCGGGCUGGGUGAAACCGGGGCUCCAUCUGCGUGCUUGCUGGGGGACGUCUGAAGAUCUCAACUCAGUUGUCUCCUCUUCAGGGAUGCCUUUUCCAGGGCCAACUUCUCCAUUACACACAGCAGGUGCAGGCGUUUACAGUACUUGGCCUACAAUCUUCCCACGUGUGUUUGCAGCCUCUCUCCUCUCAGAGUGAAUCUUCAUUUCUGUGAGAACCAUCCUUGUAACUUCUUUAAUAGCCAACCGCCCACCCCCGCCCCCCCGGGGCCCUACAGCACCUACUAUGGGACUAUUGACCAAAGACGCCUCAAUAUGUGAUAGGCUGUCAAUUCCAAUGAAAUCUUUGAAGAUGAUAACAGGUACUUUUAUUAAGCACUUGCUGUGUACCUGGCUCUGUUCUAAGCUCCCAGGUACUCAGGUACUUAGGUCCUUAGGUUUUCACCUACCCCACGAAGUGACAAGCAAGGUAUGUAAGUUGCCCAAAGUCACCCAGUAAAUGGCAGAGCUGGGGUUUGAAGUCAGGUGGUCAGAUUCUGGAAACCAUCCUCUCAAUCACUAGUCUACAUGCCAUUCUAGAUUGAUUUGUCUUUGGUAUAAGGUCUCUUGUGUAACUUAGUGGGAGAAACUAAGGCAUGAAAGAGACCAAAGUCCCAGGAUCAAAUAAAGCCUGAGUGCCCAGGACUUUAUUCCAAAUGAGCCAGAAGUGAAUUCCCCAGUCUGUUUUAUGUAGGUACCUGAUGCUACCUGACACAGACCUUCCCCCAUUCCAAGCCCAUCUUUUAUUUUUCCAAGUGUCCAAGAUUUGGGGAUAGCAGCGAACAUUUUAGGGGGGUACAAGAACCUACCCAGAAAAAAUGUUUAGAAAGCUUCCUUUUCUCACUACAAGUUAAAAAAGAAAAAAAACAAAACAAAACUGUGUCCCACAAGGAAAUCAAAUGUAAUUCUUACAACUUAAAUUCAUUACAGGCUGGACACAUCUAAGACAUAAUAACAGUAGCAAAGAGGUAGCUGAUAGUUUCAACUUUCCACCUGCAGAGCACCCACUUUUCCAUUUAUUCUAGAAACCUCUUGAAACAGCUCAUGGAGGUAGGCAUUGUGAUCACAGAGGGGACGGUCUGGCUCAGAAAGGUGAAGGAAUGAGCUCAAGGUCCCAGAGUCACACGCACCCAAGCAGCAGCAUAGCGGGGGGCAGAAAUAGCUCAGUCCGUACAACAGGCCAGUUAGCAAGCUGCUGGGGCCCAGGAGAAGCACUGCAAUAUGGAGACAAGUCAGAUAUGCCUCUCUCCCUCUGGUGACUGGGACUCUGUGCUUGGCUC